UACGAAGGGGGCUAGCGUUGUUCGGAUUCAUUGGGCGUAAAGGGUGCGUAGGCGGCGCGGUAAGUCGGGUGUGAAAUCUCGGAGCUUAACUCCGAAACUGCAUUCGAUACUGCCGUGCUUGAGGACUGGAGAGGAGACUGGAAUUUACGGUGUAGCGGUGAAAUGCGUAGAUAUCGUAAGGAAGACCAGUGGCGAAGGCGGGUCUCUGGACAGUUCCUGACGCUGAGGCACGAAGGUCAGGGAGGCAAACGGG
rnacentral:rRNA from 1 species